CCUACGGGGGGCAGCAGUGGGGAAUAUUGCACAAUGGGCGCAAGCCUGAUGCAGCCAUGCCGCGUGUGUGAAGAAGGCCUUCGGGUUGUAAAGCACUUUCAGCGGGGAGGAAGGCGUUAAGGUUAAUAACCUUGUCGAUUGACGUUACCCGCAGAAGAAGCACCGGCUAACUCCGUGCCAGCAGCCGCGGUAAUACGGAGGGUGCAAGCGUUAAUCGGAAUUACCGGGCGUAAAGCGCACGCAGGCGGUCUGUCAAGUCGGAUGUGGAAUCCCGGGCUCAACCUGGGAACUGCAUUCGAAACUGGCAGGCUAGAGUCUUGUAGAGGGGGGUAGAAUUCCAGGUGUAGCGGUGAAAUGCGUAGAGAUCUGGAGGAAUACCGGUGGCGAAGGCGGCCCCCUGGACAAAGACUGACGCUCAGGUGCGAAAGCGUGGGGAGCAAACAGGAUUAGAUACCCGUGUAGUC
rnacentral:rRNA from 1 species